GUAUGUAAUGUACUCUUUCUUCGGAACACCGGUGACAGGUGGUGCAUGGUUGUCGUCAGCUCGUGUCGUGAGAUGUUGGGUUAAGUCCCGCAACGAGCGCAACCCCUGUCCUUAGUAGCCAGCAGUUCGGCUGGGCACUCUAGGGAGACUGCCAGGGAUAACCUGGAGGAAGGCGGGGAUGACGUCAAAUCAUCAUGCCCCUUAUGACUUGGGCUACACACGUGCUACAAUGGCGUAAACAAAGGGAAGCGAAAAGGUGACUUCUAGCAAAUCCCAAAAAUAACGUCCCAGUUCGGACUGUAGUCUGCAACUCGACUACACGAAGCUGGAAUCGCUAGUAAUCGCGAAUCAGAAUGUCGCGGUGAAUACGUUCCCGGGUCUUGUACACACCGA
rnacentral:rRNA from 1 species